UACGCUAUCCCUAGCUUUAAUUCCUCCAUAUGCUCCCAUUAUCCAUCCUCUUCACACCCAGAUUGCCAGAAGAUUCUCUCUAUCUCGUACCAAAUCCAAGACACCAAGAUUCCCAUGUUAGGCAAAGGAAGCUCACUGGCUUUGUGAGCGAACCAAGGUGUCUCUGCUUACCAAAUUCCUCUACUUCGCUCUUUGUGGAAAUUCCGAAAUCAGUCUUCAGUCUUCAAAUCAACAUUGCUGGAAUGGCAGCCAUUUCAAAUGUCACGGUAUGAGUCACGGCGGGAGCUCGGUAAGGUUUUGAGAGACUAGACUUCAGUUUCAGUCACUUCCUGAAUUGAUGUCUCUGAUCUUUAGGCCCUUUAAGAUGAAAAUGUGCCAAGUGAGCUGAAGAAAGUUACCGUGCAAGCUUGAAUGGAUGAGAAGCUUACUCAAGCUGAGUUUGCUCAAGUAACACCCUCUCCAUAGAUAGACAAAGCAGAGAGAGAACCUGAGUUGCAACAUGCAGUGAGGCAAGAAGAGGAU